rnacentral:rRNA from 1 species
UGCCAGUGCGGCAGCUAACACAUGCAGUCGAGCGGUAGCACAGAGAGCUUGCUCUCGGGUGACGAGCGGCGGACGGGUGAGUAAUGUCUGGGAAACUGCCUGAUGGAGGGGGAUAACUACUGGAAACGGUAGCUAAUACCGCAUAACGUCGCAAGACCAAAGUGGGGGACCUUCGGGCCUCAUGCCAUCAGAUGUGCCCAGAUGGGAUUAGCUAGUAGGUGGGGUAACGGCUCACCUAGGCGACGAUCCCUAGCUGGUCUGAGAGGAUGACCAGCCACACUGGAACUGAGACACGGUCCAGACUCCUACGGGAGGCAGCAGUGGGGAAUAUUGCACAAUGGGCGCAAGCCUGAUGCAGCCAUGCCGCGUGUAUGAAGAAGGCCUUCGGGUUGUAAAGUACUUUCAGCGGGGAGGAAGGCGAUAAGGUUAAUAACCUUGUCGAUUGACGUUACCCGCAGAAGAAGCACCGGCUAACUCCGUGCCAGCAGCCGCGGUAAUACGGAGGGUGCAAGCGUUAAUCGGAAUUACUGGGCGUAAAGCGCACGCAGGCGGUCUGUCAAGUCGGAUGUGAAAUCCCCGGGCUCAACCUGGGAACUGCAUUCGAAACUGGCAGGCUAGAGUCUUGUAGAGGGGGGUAGAAUUCCAGGUGUAGCGGUGAAAUGCGUAGAGAUCUGGAGGAAUACCGGUGGCGAAGGCGGCCCCCUGGACAAAGACUGACGCUCAGGUGCGAAAGCGUGGGGAGCAAACAGGAUUAGAUACCCUGGUAGUCCACGCCGUAAACGAUGUCGAUUUGGAGGUUGUGCCCUUGAGGCGUGGCUUCCGGAGCUAACGCGUUAAAUCGACCGCCUGGGGAGUACGGCCGCAAGGUUAAAACUCAAAUGAAUUGACGGGGGCCCGCACAAGCGGUGGAGCAUGUGGUUUAAUUCGAUGCAACGCGAAGAACCUUACCUGGUCUUGACAUCCACAGAACUUAGCAGAGAUGCUUUGGUGCCUUCGGGAACUGUGAGACAGGUGCUGCAUGGCUGUCGUCAGCUCGUGUUGUGAAAUGUUGGGUUAAGUCCCGCAACGAGCGCAACCCUUAUCCUUUGUUGCCAGCGGUUCGGCCGGGAACUCAAAGGAGACUGCCAGUGAUAAACUGGAGGAAGGUGGGGAUGACGUCAAGUCAUCAUGGCCCUUACGACCAGGGCUACACACGUGCUACAAUGGCAUAUACAAAGAGAAGCGACCUCGCGAGAGCAAGCGGACCUCAUAAAGUAUGUCGUAGUCCGGAUUGGAGUCUGCAACUCGACUCCAUGAAGUCGGAAUCGCUAGUAAUCGUAGAUCAGAAUGCUACGGUGAAUACGUUCCCGGGCCUUGUACACACCGCCCGUCACACCAUGGGAGUGGGUUGCAAAAGAAGUAGGUAGCUUAACCUUCGGGAGGGCGCUACCACUUUGAUAAGUGG